rnacentral:ncRNA from 1 species
UAUUUCACAAAGGAGUGCUUUGGCUGAGAUCGCAGUUGCGAAAUCCUAGGGACCUGAUCUUGUUAAUACAAGCGUAGGGAUUGUGACCAGUAAAAUC